ensembl:snoRNA
AUCCUUUUGUAGUUCACAAGCACGAUGAUUGAGUGCUCAAGCCCAUGUGUGAGGCAUGCCUCCCUCAAACCUUGUUACAAUGUCGGCACAGCACCAUCUGACA